rnacentral:rRNA from 1 species
GACCAAAAUCUAGAAAUUAGUUUAACGGCCGCUGUAUCUUGACGGUGAUAAUGUAGGAAAAUAAAUAGUUGUUUAAUUGACGAACGUAGGUGAAUGAUUUUACGAGGUUUCCACUGUCUUAAAUUUAAAUAAUUGAAAUUUAAAUAAUAGUGAAGAUGCUAUUUAAAACUGUAAGACGAAAAGUCCCUAUAAAGCUUAACUAUGGGCUGAUUAUUAAACAAGACUUAAGUCUUGUUUAAUAUCAUUCGGUCAGGUAGUUUUGUUGGGGCAACAACAUUUUAAAAAAAAAGAAUGUAACCAUAAAUAUUCAACUUAAAGUAUUAUUUAUUGUUUAAUCCAUAAAUUUAACAAUCACAAAGUGGGGUAAAUGACCUGCCAUCUCUACGACAAUUGAAUGGCAAUAAAUAAAUAAAAGCUACUUUAGGGGUAACAGGUUAAUUUUAUCCUAGAGACGGAAUCGAAGAUAAAGUUUGACACCUCGAUGUUGAAUUAAGAUAUCCUGAUCAAUGCAGCAGUUAUCAAAGGUUGGUCUGUUCGACCAUUAAAAUCUU